UGACCGUGCGAAGGUAGCAUAAUCAUUAGUUUUUUAAUUGGAGGCUUGUAUGAACGAUUGGACAAGAGCUAAACUGUCUCUUUUUUAAAAAUUGAAUUUUAUUAUUAAGUGAAAAAGCUUAAAUGAAUAAGAAGGACGAUAAGACCCUAUAAAUCUUUAUAAGAGUUAGUUUUUAAAUAAAAAUAUUUAUUUAAAAUAUUUUAGAAAUUUAAAUUAUUGUGCUGGGGCGGUGGUAAUAUAAAAUAAACUGUUAAUAGAUAAAAACAAAUAUAUUUGAAAUUAAAAGAUCCUUAUUAAGGAUUAAAAGAGAAAGUUACUUUAGGGAUAACAGCAUAAUUUCUUUUGAGAGUUCAAAUCGAAAAAGAAGUUUGUGACCUCGAUGUUGAAUUAAGAAUUCCUUAUGGUGCAGCAGUUAUAAAGGAAAGUCUGUUCGACUUUUAAAUUCUUACAUGAUUUGAGUUCAGACCGGCGUGAGCCAGGUUGGUUUCUAUCUA
rnacentral:rRNA from 1 species